CCUACGGGAGGCAGCAGUAAGGAAUAUUGCGCAAUGGGCGAAAGCCUGACGCAGCGACGCCGCGUGGGGGAUGAAGGUCUUCGGAUUGUAAACCCCUUUCGGGAGGGAAGAUGGAGCGAGCAAUCGUUCGGACGGUACCUCCAGAAGCAGCCACGGCCAACUUCGUGCCAGCAGCCGCGGUAAUACGAAGGUGGCAAGCGUUGUUCGGAUUCACUGGGCGUACAGGGUGUGUAGGCGGUUUGGUAAGCCUUCUGUUAAAGCUUCGGGCCCAACCCGGAAAGCGCAGAGGGUACUGCCAGGCUAGAGGGUGGGAGAGGAGCGCGGAAUUCCCGGUGUAGCGGUGAAAUGCGUAGAGAUCGGGAGGAAGGCCGGUGGCGAAGGCGGCGCUCUGGAACAUACCUGACGCUGAGACACGAAAGCGUGGGGAGCAAACAGGAUUAGAUACCCUGGUAGUCCACGCCCUAAACUAUGGAUACUAAGUGUCGGCGGGUUACCGCCGGUGCCGCAGCUAACGCAUUAAGUAUCCCGCCUGGGAAGUACGGCCGCAAGGUUGAAACUCAAA
rnacentral:rRNA from 1 species